CUCAGGAUGAACGCUAGCUACAGGCUUAACACAUGGCAAGUCGCGGGGCAACAUGAAUUUAGCUUGCUAAAUUUGAUGGCGACCGGCGCACGGGUGAGUAACGCGUAUCCAACUUCCCCUGUCCACGGGAUAGCCCGUCGAAAGGCGAAUUAAUACCGUAUGAGGUCACACGAUGGCAUCAGACUGUGACGAAAGGUUUAGCGGACAGGGGAUGGGGAUGCGUCUGAUUAGGUUGUUGCGGGGCAACGGCCCACCAAGCCUACGAUCAGUAGGGGUUCUGAGAGGAAGGUCCCCCACAUUGGGACUGAGAUACGGCCCAGACUCCUACGGGAGGCAGCAGUGGGGAAUUUUGCGCAAUGGGGGCAACCCUGACGCAGCAACGCCGCGUGCGGGACGACGGCCUUCGGGUUGUAAACCGCUUUCAGCAGGGAAGAACCUCUGACGGUACCUGCAGAAGAAGCCCCGGCUAACUACGUG
rnacentral:rRNA from 1 species